GACGAACGCUGGCGGCGUGCUUAACACAUGCAAGUCGAACGGAAAGGCCCUGCUUUUGUGGGGUGCUCGAGUGGCGAACGGGUGAGUAACACGUGAGUAACCUGCCCUUGACUUUGGGAUAACUUCAGGAAACUGGGGCUAAUACCGGAUAGGAGCUCCUGCUGCAUGGUGGGGGUUGGAAAGUCUCGGCGGUUGGGGAUGGACUCGCGGCUUAUCAGCUUGUUGGUGGGGUAGUGGCUUACCAAGGCUUUGACGGGUAGCCGGCCUGAGAGGGUGACCGGCCACAUUGGGACUGAGAUACGGCCCAGACGCCUACGGGAGGCAGCAGUGGGGAAUAUUGCACAAUGGGCGGAAGCCUGAUGCAGCAACGCCGCGUGCGGGAUGACGGCCUUCGGGUUAUAAACCGCUUUCGCCUGUGACGAAGCGUGAGUGACGGUAAUGGGUAAAGAAGCACCGGCUAACUACGUG
rnacentral:rRNA from 1 species